CCUACGGGAGGCAGCAGUAAAGAAUCUUCCACAAUGGACGAAAGUCUGAUGGAGCGACACCGCGUGCAGGAUGAAGGCCCUUGGGUCGUAAACUGCUUUUUUGGGGGAAAAAUUCUGAUUGUACCCUAAGAAUAAGCACCGGCAAAUCACGUGCCAGCAGCCGCGGUAAU
rnacentral:rRNA from 1 species